rnacentral:snRNA from 1 species
GACGUCGGCGGGGGCCUCGGG